rnacentral:rRNA from 1 species
UACGUAGGUGGCAAGCGUUGUCCGGAUUUAUUGGGUUUAAAGGGUGCGUAGGCGGCCUUGUAAGUCAGUGGUGAAAUACUCCAGCUUAACUGGAGGGGUGCCAAUGAUACUGCAGGGCUUGAGUACAGAUGAGGUAGGCGGAAUUGACGGUGUAGCGGUGAAAUGCAUAGAUAUCGUCAAGAACACCGAUAGCGAAGGCAGCUUACUGGGCUGUAACUGACGCUGAGGCACGAAAGUGUGGGGAUCAAACAGGG